GGAAAGGUAGAUUCCUGUCAGCCCCCUGCAUCUGGUGAGGGGAAAGAGGGAGAGCAGCCUGAAGUGAGCUGGCAGAUAGAGGCAAAGAGCUGUGACAAGAUGCUCUGCAAGGAGAAAGUAAAGGAGCCACUGUUGAAUGGAGAGUGCGCUGACGGCACUUUCACAUCACUUCCGUCUUCUUUACCGGAAGUUCGGGUCCGGACUGUUUUACAUCAUGCACGUGGGGAUUCUAUAAAGGGCCUAACUGAACGACUAUGCCAACAACACUACAUUAUCUUUGUUUACAGUGAAUAAGCCAUCAUUUGGGGCUCUGAGCUGACGGAAACAGGAACAAAGGCAUCUGAGAAUCUUUUGAUGACGGUGGAACACUAAGACAUGUGACAGCUGAUAACUUAUUUACAGGUUCUACAAAAUCAAGAAGUUUUCAUCAAAGCACUUCAAAUGGUGUUCUCUAAAGAUAAAAAAAAAUGCACUAAACAUUAUACAGAUUUUCAUAUUAUGACAUUCAUCCUCAAAACUUAAAAGAACCUGACUGCUUUCUAUGAAUUUAUUAUUUGCCAAAUUUGCUUGCAAAUAAACAUAAAACCCAAGCAUUGCUGCAAGGCACCGGUGUGAAGACGACAACACUUUGAAAGCAAGGUAUGAAAGCAUUCCUCUCAGAAAUGAAGAUGGAUUUUCACUCACUCCUAAUACACAGAAAUAGUUCAGAAAUGUUAUUUUCUAAGAUAAAGUGGCAUUCUAGAGCUAAAGCAAUUUAGAAAAUAAGGAAUUUAAAAUUGUUCAACUUCAAAAAAGAAAACACAUCUUAUAUCAUUCCAAGAAAACCAUAUAACCAUACAAUGAAAUUAUAAAUGCAGAU